CACAGUUUUUGAGAAGUGCAGAAACAUCACCUUGCAUUUGCGAGGUACAAAGAUGGUCCUCAACAUCCUCCAACUGUGACAGAAGGUCCAGGGACAGGGUAUCAAGGGUUUGUGUCAGGUCAUGGAGUGAUGACCCUUCGGUGACUUCACUGACCUGGGCAUGGUGGCCACUGGACAACUUUGAAUCAAGGACACUUUCCUGAGUUGGUGCAAGAAACACAGUUAGCCAGCCAAACGCCAGGAGGAGCUCUCUGCUGCCGUGGUCCAUGGAGGUGGGAAGGGACAGGAACUCUGGGGACCGGUAACCAUGGAGAUACAGGCAC